GACGAACGCUGGCGGCGUGCUUAACACAUGCAAGUCGAGCGGAAAGGCCCUGCUUUUGUGGGGUGCUCGAGUGGCGAACGGGUGAGUAACACGUGAGUAACCUGCCCUUGACUUUGGGAUAACUUCAGGAAACUGGGGCUAAUACCGGAUAGGAGCUCCUGCUGCAUGGUGGGGGUUGGAAAGUUUCUGCGGUUGGGGAUGGACUCGCGGCUUAUCAGCUUGUUGGUGGGGUAGUGGCUUACCAAGGCUUUGACGGGUAGCCGGCCUGAGAGGGUGGCCGGCCACAUUGGGACUGAGAUACGGCCCAGACUCCUACGGGAGGCAGCAGUGGGGAAUAUUGCACAAUGGGCGGAAGCCUGAUGCAGCAACGCCGCGUGAGGGAUGACGGCCUUCGGGUUGUAAACCGCUUUCGCCUGUGACGAAGCGUGAGUGACGGUAAUGGGUAAAGAAGCACCGGCUAACUACGUG
rnacentral:rRNA from 1 species